CCGCCAUGCGCGAAGGAGCCAAAGCAGGCGGUGAGGACCUGCAGGAAGUGGAAGAGCAGGUGCACCUCGGGAGGAAGGUGUUUGUAUACAAAGCUGGAUAAACUGAUAAUCUGAUCUCCGGCAGUUAGUUGACUGCGUGUGGAAGACACAGGUGAGGGGCCCAGAGGUGCUGCUGGGAGACUGCAGGUGAAUGGCUCUUGGAGGAAAGUCAUGGGACAGGAACAAGCCCGGUCUGGGACUGACCAAGCCCUGGGCCCUUCAGCCCCUGAGUUUUCUCUGGGGACACUUGUGUGCACUGGAGCCCCAUUGCCACAUGCAGGCCAACUGUCCCCCAAAACUGCCUCUGCCGCACGCCGCCCCAGCCCCCAGGGACUUACCAUAUGGGGCCCGGGGGUGGUGACCCCCCGACAUGCUCUCUGAGGUCCCCGAGGGCUCUGCAGCCGAGCCUGUGAGGGGGACGGUGCUGUCGUCUUGGGCCUUGGCACCUGGCAGCUCUUUAAAUACUGGGGACUCCACUUCCUGAAUUUUAUUGAGACUUUCAUCAGAGGCUCUCGAUAACGCACCUUCUUUUUGUAAUUUGCCUGAAGAAAAUAAGAGUCAUAACUGAAAAUUUGGGAAGAGAAUUCUUAUUUUUGACAAAUGAAUAUAAAAAUAAAUAUUUAUCGUGAUACUUUCAUACUUUGGGAACAAAAAAAAAAAAGGGAAAAUAAAGUGGACAAUUCAAUCUGGGAAACAGGCUAGAAAAUUCAGCUACGGAGGGAAAGAUGGAGGCUCAGCCCUGAGUUAUCUUAUCCAAAAGCAACAAAAAAGACAGGGUUAGAUCUGAUUCCCAAGGUAAACAUUCUGUAAAUGCUACAACCAUCUAGACCGGCCUUCUGUUUGCUUACGCUGACCUCAGAAUCGCUGAAAUGUUUACCCUUUUUGUCUUCAUAGAUAGUUAGGGUCUGUUUCUUUUCUUCUGUUCAAUAAGAGACUGCGCUCAGAUUUCCUCAGGUCACCAAGUCUUAGGAAACAAGUAAAUCAUUUUCCUCAAAAGGAACAAAGAGAUUCUGCUUUUAAAAAUCCUCUACUUUCAAAAGAAACUAGGGAUUUUCAAAAAGUGGUUUUGUAGCUGGAGUGCAUUCUUGGUAAUCAGAUCUGGUAUGUGGAUUCCUGGUCUUGCUGCCUCACACUUCCCUGAGGAAACAUCUAAGCUCUAACCUACCCAACUGACACGGACACGGUCUUCUCGGUUCCUCUGCCGGAUACACUCAUGCAUCACCCUGGUUUCUGUAUUUACCUAGAUAGAUCACUUCAGUCUCUGUUGUUGUUCAGUCACUCAGUUGUGUCCCGACUAUUUGUGAUCCCAUGGACUACAGCACGCCAGGCUUCCCUGUCUUUCACCAUCUCCCAGAGCUUGCUGAAACUCACGUCCACUGAGUCGAUGAUGCCAUCCAACCAUCUCGACCUCUGUCGUCCCCUUCUCUUCCUGCCCUCAAUCUUUAUACCUCUAUCUCUAUAUUUUCUAAAUCUAAAAGACAGAUUUUUUUAGAAAAACUAAGUUUGUUUACUACAAGGAACAAAUAAAGGUACACACAGGUUUCUGACCUCAAGCUGCUUACAAUGUAGAUGAGAAAAGUUAAUAUCUGUAAAGAUAAUAACAGAUUUUUUAAACUGUAUUUUUUUGGUUUGUUUUUUAUUGUAUUUUGGCCACAUUGUGCAGUUUGUCAGAUCUUAGCUCCCCAACCAGGGAUCAAACCUGGGCUUCUGCAGUGGAAGCAUGGAGUCUUAACCACUGAACCAUCAGGAAGUCCCCCCAAAAUGUGUUAACAUAUGAAACAGAUGUCAUGUAAAUGGAACCAUAAGACGUGCUUCUGAGGCUGGCUCCUCCGACGUGGCACGAUUAAUGCGCCUGAGGUUCAUCCAUGCUGCUGCAGGCUCAGCAGCCCCCUCGUCUUCACUGCCGAGCAGCAGUCUAAUAUGUGGAUGUAUUUAUUUCCAUAAAUACGUGUGUGUGUGUUCUGUGGAUAAUCCAGGCUUUUAGUUUUUGGUGAUAGCAAAUGCAGCUGCUACAAAUAUUCA